GACGAACGCUGGCGGCGUGCUUAACACAUGCAAGUCGAACGGAAAGGCCCUGCUUUUGUGGGGUGCUCGAGUGGCGAACGGGUGAGUAACACGUGAGUAACCUGCCCUUGACUUUGGGGUAACUUCAGGAAACUGGGGCUAAUACCGGAUAGGAGCUCCUGCUGCAUGGUGGGGGUUGGAAAGUUUCGGCGGUUGGGGAUGGACUCGCGGCUUAUCAGCUUGUUGGUGGGGUAGUGGCUUACCAAGGCUUUGACGGGUAGCCGGCCUGAGAGGGUGACCGGCCACAUUGGGACUGAGAUACGGCCCAGACUCCUACGGGAGGCAGCAGUGGGGAAUAUUGCACAAUGGGCGGAAGCCUGAUGCAGCAACGCCGCGUGCGGGAUGACGGCCUUCGGGGUGUAAACCGCUUUCGCCUGUGACGAAGCGUGAGUGACGGUAAUGGGUAAAGAAGCACCGGCUAACUACGUG
rnacentral:rRNA from 1 species